rnacentral:rRNA from 1 species
AGUCGAGCGAAUGAUGAGGAAGCUUGCUUCCUCUGAUUUAGCGGCGGACGGGUGAGUAACACGUGGGCAACCUACCUUAUAGUUUGGGAUAACUCCGGGAAACCGGGGCUAAUACCAAAUAAUCUCUUUUACUUCAUGGUGAAAGACUGAAAGACGGUUUC